rnacentral:rRNA from 1 species
UACGAAGGGGGCUAGCGUUGCUCGGAAUCACUGGGCGUAAAGGGUGCGUAGGCGGGGCUUUAAGUCAGGGGUGAAAUCCUGGAGCUCAACUCCAGAACUGCCUUUGAUACUGAGGAUCUUGAGUACGGGAGAGGUGAGUGGAACUGCGAGUGUAGAGGCGAAAUUCGUAGAUAUUCGCAAGAACACCAGUGGCGAAGGCGGCUCACUGGCCCGUAACUGACGCUGAGGCACGAAAGCGUGGGGAGCAAACAGG